GAAAUGCGAUAAUUAAUGUGAAUUGCAGAAUUCAGUGAAUCAUCGAGUCUUUGAACGCACAUUGCGCCCCCUGGUAUUCCGGGGGGCAUGCCUGUCCGAGCGUCAUUGCUGCCCUCAAGCACGGCUUGUGUGUUGGGCUUCCGUCCCUGGCAACGGGUACGGGCCCAAAAGGCAGUGGCGGCACCAUGUCUGGUCCUCGAGCGUAUGGGGCUUUGUCACCCGCUCCCGUAGGUCCAGCUGGCAGCUAGCCUCGCAACCAAUCUUUUUAACCAGGUUGACCUCGGAUCAGGUAGGGAUACCCGCUGAACUUAAGC
rnacentral:misc_RNA from 1 species